rnacentral:rRNA from 1 species
CAGCAGCCGCGGGAAUACAGAGGGUGCAAGCGUUAAUCGGAAUUACUGGGCGUAAAGCGCGCGUAGGUGGUUUGUUAAGUUGGAUGUGAAAUCCCCGGGCUCAACCUGGGAACUGCAUCCAAAACUGGCAAGCUAGAGUAUGGUAGAGGGUGAUGGAAUUUCCUGUGUAGCGGUGAAAUGCGUAGAUAUAGGAAGGAACACCAGUGGCGAAGGCGACCACCUGGACUGAUACUGACACUGAGGUGCGAAAGCGUGGGGAGCAAACAGGAUUAGAUACCCGUGUAGUCCCUGUCUCUUAUAC